CCAAGGAGUUUAGCGUGUGCGCGAGUCAUUGGGUGACAAACCUAAAGGCGGAAUGAAAGUAAAGGGGGCUUUGCCCCUGAGGGAGGAUGGGCGGUCGCCGUCUCACGGCUACGCCCCGCACUCCCGGGGCGUCUCUUUCUCGAUUCGAGUGGAGGCGCACCUAUAGCGCACACGCUGAUACCCGAAAGAUGGUGAACUAUGCCUGGCCAGGACGAAGCCAGGGGAAACCCUGGUGGAGGUCCGCAGCGAUUCUGACGUGCAAAUCGAUCGUCGGAGCUGGGUAUAGGGGCGAAAGACCAAUCGAACCAUCUAGUAGCUGGUUCCCUCUGAAGUUUCCCUCAGGAUAGCUUGCGCUCGGAGAGAAGAGUCUCAUCCGGUAGAGCGAAUGAUUAGAGGCCUUGGGGUCGAAACGACCUCAACCUAUUCUCAAACUCCAAAUAGAUGAGAACCCCGGCUUGCUUGAAAGUGAAGCCGCGGGAUUCGGAUCGGAGUGCCAAGUGGGCCAAUUUU
rnacentral:rRNA from 1 species